AGAAAACCAGGACUUGAACCUGCACUUAAUAACCCAAAAUUAUUCGUACUUCAUUAUACGAUUUUCUA
rnacentral:tRNA from 1 species